GUUGUUUUUAACACGUAAAUUGUUUUGAUUUCAAAAAUCUCGAUGUCGUUUUUUUGCACAAAAUCUAUAUAGAUAAACAAAAAAACACACCUAAUAUCUCGUUUGGUUUUAAACAAAAAAUAAAAAUAGUAGCUGAAAAUGGUUCUUAAAAUCAAGGUGCCAAACACAUAAGGAGUGGCAACAAUAGGCAGUUUUUAAUUUCUAUCAAGUUUAUUUUUUCUUUCAAAUUAAAUUAAUUUUUUUUUUGUUUUUGAUUUGAUUCCGAGUACCGAGUUGUAUUUGCUUCGUCUUCACUUUUCAAGUAUUUUAUUAUAGAGUCCACCUUAAUUUUGUUUAAUUUUUAUUUGUUUUAUUUUUUUCCUUGUCACAAUUUUUGCCGGCAGAAUAAUGCUUCGAACAUUAUUUGUCCGCGAAAAAUUAAGUGGACACUUUUUCUUUACAGCGGCUCCAAAUAUUUAAAUUUUGCGCGUGAACUGCGUACUGCUUCGAAAAAUAAUCAAGACAAAAUCUGUCCCGAGAAAAAAUUUGUAUGAGAAACAAAAUUUUUCCCGAUCUGUGUACUAGGCUUCACAAAGAAAUUUUUUUUUUAUUUUCUGGCAGGCGGCAGGAGCAAUUGAUUAUUCCACAAAUUUUCUCUGUUGAAUGUUGUUCGUGGGUGGUGGUGGCGUCAGGCUGCAGGAGCAGAUGAUUUCCUACGAAAACACAAAAAUUAUUAAUUGAUAAAAUUGCUGCGGAAGCGCAAUUACAAACAUUUCAGCGUUGCAUACCUUUUCUUAGAUUGAAAUAUUACUUAUUAUAAUUAAAAAAAAUAAAGAGAUACGACUUGACAGACUGCAAAAAAAAAUAAGAUGACGCUCUUGUUAUUCUGUUGCCUUUGUCUUUAUUUCUUCAAUUCUCCUUUUCACACAUUUCACAACGCUUCUCCUUCGACUUUGUGUUCAUACACAAAAAGUUGCAAGUUCGUGAGUGCAACAUCGUAUUUCGCGUUUUGAGGACGGAGUGUCAAAAAAGAGCUCCGUUUUCUUGCUUGAAGGGUGGUUUUGCUUUCGGAUAAGUUUUUGACAUUUGGGGUAUGUUCGUAGAUUUAGUCAAACGUGCAUAUAAACGGUGGCCCGUUUAUAUGCAGGGUCGAAAGAUCGAAAUUGAAAUUUGUAUGUGAAAUGGCCCUUCAUGUUAGAAAACCGAGUUCAGAUUUGACGGUCCGACUUUAAAAUGUCAAAUACGAGGGUAAACGAGUUAACACUCACACACUCAAAACUUCUUGUGUAUGAACACAAAGUCGGAGGAGAAUCGUGGUGAAAAAGUGUGAAAAAGAAAACAAUCGUAGGAAAGACAAAAGCAACAAAUAGACAAAGUACAAUGCGUCAUUUAAUUAUUGUUGGUUGCAGUGCUACGUGGUCGUGUGUCGUUUCUCGUCUUGAAACUAAAUUGUUUUAUUUAUAUCGAAAAUUUUAAUAAAAAAAAGGUAUGAAUUGCUUAGGACCAGUUGUACAAAUAUUUAAUCCGUGGAUCAACAACUUUUAUCUUCUAAUAUCGGUAGUUAAGCAGAAGUUUAGCACUGGUUCAAGGUCCAUAUAUGUAAAAAUAGCCACAUUCAUGCUUGAGCCGAAGUUGACCCACAGCUAAUCUGCCGAUAUCGGCGGGUUAAAUUCCUGAACCAAGGCUGACCCACGUUUGUACAACUGGCACUUAGCGUGCUUCAGUGAUUUUAUAAUUAAUUUAAUUUAUCAUUUUUAUGUUUUCCAAGGAGGUCAAUAAAGAGAUGCUAGCUGAAAAUUUUCUCCGGCAUCCUAACCUAAACUACCUCCAAGCCACAACACAGCAACACACAACAGCUACAAUGGUCUUCAAGGAUGGACAUUUUCCAACCGCUGUAUCAUAUCAUCAGAAUAUAUCUAUGGAGUUUGGUAUUAACAGCAUAAGUCCAUUUUUUUCGAAAAUGAGUUGAAUAUGCAGAACUAUUUAAAAAAAACUAUUUUCGUUUAGUCUUAACUGCAUAACUCUAAGUAAACUAGUUCCAAAGAUAUUCAAUGGCCCUAAUCACACUUAACUCAUUUUUCUAAAAUUAUGUGUGAUCAUAAUGGCAUAACUAAAACUUGUGCUGUUUUGACCAAUCAAAAAUGUUUAUACUUUUAAAUAACAAAACAACACAACUUAGUUCCUAGAAAAAUAUUGGCUUUAAGGACACAACUCGAAAUAAGCUUAUUCUUGAACGAAAAUUAGUUUGGUCAAAACAACAUAUCUCACUAAAAAACAUAUAAAUACACUUAAAAAUUAUUUUAUUUACUUUAUUUGUGUAAAUUGCAUCCCAUUAUAUUUGUAUUAAAUAAAACUGAAUUUGGGGGAAUUUUUCAAACUUUAAAAUGCAUUUAUCUCAAAACGACGGUUUUGGACUUAUGUUGUUAAUACCAAACUCCAUAGAUAUUAGGUUUUAUUACCACCGGUCUUAACUGGACAAAAAAAACGCAGUCUGGGCUAAGCAAUUUAAAUGUUAAAUACAACAACACUUUAGCGCCUUGGGCUUAGUUGUUUAGCCCGGAGAAUUCUUUGGGCUUAACUUUUUGAAGAGUUUUAAAUCUGUGCUACCAAAUCAUAAAUUGUUUAGAAUUUGUUUAGAAACGUCAAAACUGACAUUUUAAAUGACAAAAUAAAAUAAAAAAAAAAACAACUAAAAAAAAGAAUUAAAUUUUUUUAAACUGAAAACAAAAUCUUCAAAAACUAAAUACCUGAAGUUAAUCGCACAAUUUCAUCUAUGUAUUCCCUUAAACUUAUAAUUUAUUCGUCUUUGUAAAUGUUCGAUUUCAAUCAGGUAUGCCUUGCCUAUUACAACAAUCUUACAAGCUUUUUUUAAAUUCAUAUAUAUAUCAUACAUAUAUCUGACGACGAAAAUAAUUUGCUGAAGAUGAGCACAUUGAACCGCCCUACUCAGUCCAGCUACACCUGGUCUACAUCGUGUCGGUACCAAUCGAAGAUGAACAUUUGGCUAGAAAAACAAUUUGUUUUUAUGACAAAGAAACAUUUCCAUUGCUCUUUGGGGGUGGAUUUGUAUUUUUAUGGAAAUCCAAAUUAAAACUUAAAAACGAGCCGCUAAUCACACAACGCUUGCAGCAGCAUCUCAAAUGAUUCUACAAUCAGAGUCCAGUCUCAGCAACAGUAAUUAUGUGAAGCAGCGCAACAACAACAGCAUAAGCAAAUUGCUUGGCAAUUGCCAAGACACCAGAUUAUGUAGCUGUGUACAGCGCUCAAUGGACUUAGUAAGCCAGGAAGCAUAUCCAGGUUAUGGUUAUCCCCGCAGUCCACAACCAGGAAUACCUAUUAGUCUACGAGCUGGCGCAGAAGGUCUUUCCAAGUUCCAAUCCUCAGCAGCAUAAACUCAACAGCAAGCCAAAUGAUAAGAAAUUAAAAGCGCGUGGAAUAGAACCUUGCAGAUUUCAUUUUAGGUGUCGUCAUCAAAAUAAGCUAAAAUUCCACAAAGGUGAUUUUGUCCAUCAUGCAACCAAGUCUGCGACAAAUUGCCAAAAUUUUAUAUUCAGCUUGUUGUCCUGCUGCUCUUUUCCUUUCAAAAAUAACUCUAGUAAUAUUUUUGAAUACAAGUUUGAUAAUUAUAAGAUCAAACAAUUACCACAUCCAAAAUGUGAAAAGAAAGUACCUAAUGGCUGCCUGUAUUGCCGAAUUGCCAUGUUGGAAUUCCAAACCAACUUCAUGCAAUCAUAAUUCUAUCAUUUGUCACAAGGAACAAAGAAAACUGCAAACCAUGCAAUGAAGGAUACGAGCAAUUUUAGAAGAGAAAACGAAAACCAAGAGAACGCAAAGUAAUCCCACAAGAAAUCAAAGAAAACAACAAUCAAUUUAAGUUGCUGAUUUGAUCUGCAGCAGCUAUAGCUGUAUUUGUAGCAUUGACAUGUU